UGCCAGGCUCCUUGUACCCCGCCUUCACCCACUCCGACAGCCACCGAAGACUGCAGUCACAGUGGAGUGGGUUGGUUCCCAGCGCCCUAGGAGGCAGAACAGGAAGUCAGGGCCCCCUGCCCAGCUUGGCCAGUAGCCUUCAUAUCCUUGGCUCUCUGGAAAUGCAUUUUCAGACUUUGGCUAGACUGGAGGUAUCCAAUAUGGGGCCAGCGGAGUAGUCGUCUCCACUGUGGCAAAGUUAAUAUCUCCAGAGUGUACUUCCAAUCCUGUGGAAGUUUCAACUCCCAUCCCAGCCCCUUCCACUUCUGAGGCGUGGCUCUCACCUACGCAAGUAAGACUCACUCUUCAACUCAACCCCAUCCUAGCUCCUUUAGGGAGCUUCCUGGAUCACUGGCCAUCUGAUUAUCUGGUUCCCUUGCCCUGUUGAAGGGUCCACUGGAGGAUAUACUCUGCAGAGAAGGUUCUGAAACCCAGCAACCUAGGGAGCAGCUUCAAACCACUUGGCUAGACUUUCAUCCCAGUUGUGACUGGGACGAAAAUACUAGAAAUUCUGUUUUUUUUUUUAAAUUAUAUCCUUUAACAAUUCUACUUUUGAAAGUUUUAGAAUAUGCAUACGUAGUAUAUCCGUAUUAUAGUGUAUGCACACAUUAUGAAAAUAAUUAAAUAUGCAUAUAGAAGGAAUACAAACUCGAAAAUGUUCACUGACAGAGGUGUAUAAAAAAAUGUAGAGAUUCCUGAUCUGUGGAAGAGAGGUCUGGCCUGGGAGUGAGGGAAUCUAGAUUCUAGUCCAACAUCUCACUGACCUGAUAGUCAAACUUUAGCUAGUCACCUAAUAUUUAUGGGCCUCAGUUUUUCCUGUGUAAAAUAAGAAGGGAAUACCUGUUGCAGAGUGCAAAGUGGUUAAGAAUAUGUGCUUUGGAGUCAAGGCAAACCUAGAUCUGAUCCUGGGCCCUGCCAUCUGCUAGCUGUGCCAUGCUUAGACACAAUGUUAUUAUAUAUAAUAAAAGGAUAAAAAUGCCUUACAGUUGUAAGAAAUAAAUAGAAAACUUAUCUAAAGUGUUUACCCCAUAGUACAUGUUUUCUAUUAGUUCUUAUUAAAUAUUUACAGUGUUUACAUAAUUGAGGAUUCCUUUGAAGGCUUCUGAGGUGGGAAACAAGACAAUAUGCAUAGUGUGGAUACAUAGUUGUAUAAUAUACUGUAUGCAUAAGGAAAGGACAUCUGCCAAAAUGCUGACAGUGAUGACAUUGUCGCUGACACUUUCAUGCUUUCAUGUUUUGAAUGUUCAUUGGGGAGAAACACUGCUACUUACAGAUGGGAAAGAGAUGUGAGGUCGUUGAAGGAGCCUUCAGGAACGCUGGAAAUGUCAUUGCCAUGGAGGGUUCUGAAGCAGAGGGCACAGGUCGGAAGCUGAGAAAGGAAGAGACCCAAGGGAGUUACUGGAGUUUCAGAGAUCAUAUGAAGAGCUGUGCUUAAGACCGGAAGUUCUGGAGCCAGGCUGUAUGUCAAAGUGCCAACCCUGGACCAUGGUUGGGAGGUCACAGUGAGUCACCUUCUGGCUCAGCAGAAGAAUUUUCUGAUGCUCUAAUAGCUGGUCAAAAGUGGAAUAGAGUUGCCUGGGUCUGGCUCUAUUGCCCAGGCUGGAAUGCAAUGGCGUGCUCUCAGCUCACUGCAACCUCUGCCUCCCAGGCUCCAAUGAUCCUCCCACCUCCGCCUCCCAAGUAGCUGGGACUACAGGCGCAUGUUACCAUGCCUGGCUAAUUUUUUGAAUUUUUUGGUAGAGACAGGGUUUCACUAUGUUGCCCAGGCUAGUCUUGAAGUCCUGGGCUCAAGCAAUCCUCCCACCUCGGCCUCCCAAAGUGCUGGGAUUACAGGUGUGAGCCACCAUGCUGGGGCAAGCCUACUAAUUCGUAUUUCAAGAAGCAAGUGCUAGCGUGUUGUAUGGUUACGUGUACCGCUGAUGAACUCAUGGCAGUAGUAGUGCCAGACUGGGACAAAUGAUGCUGAGGAAAGAGAAAACCCUGGUCAGGCUGGUGGUGUUCACCCCAUCACCCCCACCACCCCAAAAGACAGACAGAUGGACGGGCAAACAUUUUCUCUCCCUCUUACAUAUUGAGUUGCCCCAAACAUCACUACUCUAAUUAUGAACAGAUGCAUGCAGAUUCCUUAAAAUUGGCAGGUCCCACCUCCUGGCAGUGAACCCACACACGGAACUAUUAGACUGGGAUGGAAGACAAUAGGUUGGGAUUGAGGGGGAAUGGUAGGAGAAGGAAGGGGGAGCAGGUCCGGCUUCAGCCCUGGCCAGUGAUACGAGCCCAUCUCCUGCUGUGUUCAACUGGAAACAGGGAAAUGGUUGUGCUGAUGUAUCCAUUCUCAAACUCCCCAGAGAAGGUGGAUAAUAAAUAAGUGACAAUAACAGAUUGCACACUGUCAGCGCGGGCACUUCUUUGCCCCCAGAGAAUUGAUUUUUAAUAACAGCGCAGAUGACAUGUGGCGGGAGUUGUCACUGACACCGGUGUUUUGUGGGCCUCAAUAAAUCACAUCAGCCUGGAGGCUCUGAAAUGGACUAGCUUGUUGGGUGCUGUUUGUGGAUUGCUACUCGGCCCUGGAAUGGCUCCCGGGUCCCAGGAGGCUGGAUUCUGCAACCUACUGACUGCUAGACCUUGGCCAGUUACUUCACCAGUCUGGGCCUCAGUUUCUCCAUGUUUAAAAUGGGCAGAACUGUCUUGGUCUCACAGCAGUGUUGCAAAAGGUUAGACGAAGAAAACUGUCCCAUAAAAUAUGUUGAUCACUAUUAUAGUAAUAAUGAUCUAGAAAGUCAGGAAGUUGAUAGGUUUGGGGGCGGAGUAUCUGGCAUCUCUGUUUUCAUGAAUAGCAUUCAAGGGUGAUAUUCAAAGGACCAAAGGAAUUCAAAGGAAUGUGCUAAUAAAAUAGAAGCAAGAUGGGAAGGCACAAAAAUCAGGUGUUAAUCAGGCCCAGGAUUGGGGGUGGUGGUGGGGUGCCUUCCUGCCCUAGCAAGCUGUGAUAUAAGAAUAAUAACAAGUGAAUAUUUGUUAAGCAUUUACAGUGCCAGAGCUGCACUAAGUACUUCAUAUACAGUAUCUCAUUUAAUCCUCAUAAGACCCUGUGAGGCAAUUACCAUAAUUAUCUGAUUUUAUGGAUGAGAAGACACUCAGCUACCCAUGUGUAGGACAGGGCCAGGCAGGCGAGGAGAGUGGGCCGGCUGUGGAGGCUGCAGCCUGCACAACUCUGUUUAAAGGGGCAGGGCUGCUCAGCCAUGCAGGAAUGCAGGGGUAGGGCCCUGGUACGGCCAGGUCUCUCAAUUUUCCAAAAGAAUAUAGAGAGUGGGAUUUGUGGAAGAAAUCUGAUAUUUAAAUGUUGACAGCUUAUUAAGCUUUGUGUUCUUAAAAAGACACUCUAUGAGCCAACCCCACAAUUGCUAACUAAUAGCUGUCUGUGAGCUGGACGGGGGCCCUGGGUUUCCAGCUUGUGAUCUCUGGGGUAGGAGCUGUUUCCAUGCAGAGGUUCACCAUGCUGCAUUGCCCCUCUGAGGAAACAACUGUCAACAGAAUGAUCAUCGAAACGUGGCUAUGACCACACACUAUGCUCAAUACUAGAGGGUAGAAUACAAUUGCAUAUCCUAAUCCUCACAAAGGAGGUGCUAUUGAUCCCAUUUUACACAUAAAGAAGCAGAAAGUUGAAGGGGCUCAGUGAUUUGCUCAAGGUUCCACAGUGGUAGUGCGCUGGACCCUGGGAAUGGCAGACUCUCAAAGGUAGCUCUCUCUACUCCACUGAGCA
rnacentral:lncRNA from 10 species